UGGCGGCGUGCCUAACACAUGCAAGUCGAACGAGAAAGUGGAGCAAUCCAUGAGUAAAGUGGCGACCGGGUGAGUAACACGUGACUAACCUGCCUUCGAGUGGGGGAUAACCUCGGGAAACCGGGGCUAAUACCGCAUAAUGCCUUCGGGUUAAAGAAGCAAUUCGCUUGAAGAGGGGGUCGCGGCUGAUUAGCUAGUUGGUGAGGUAACGGCUCACCAAGGCGAUGAUCGGUAGCCGGCCUGAGAGGGCGCACGGCCACACUGGAACUGAAACACGGUCCAGACUCCUACGGGAGGCAGCAGUGGGGAAUUUUGCGCAAUGGGGGAAACCCUGACGCAGCAACGCCGCGUGGAGGAUGAAGUCCCUUGGGACGUAAACUCCUUUCGACCGGGACGAUGAUGACGGUACCGGCGGAAGAAGCCCCGGCUAACUUCGUGCCAGCAGCCGCGGUAAUACGAGGGGGGCAAGCGUUGUUCGGAAUUAUUGGGCGUAAAGGGCGCGUANGCGGUGCGGUAAGUCACCUGUGAAACCUCUGGGCUUAACUCAGAGCCUGCAGGCGAAACUGCCGUGCUCGAGUGUGGGA
rnacentral:rRNA from 1 species